AUGAACGCUGGCGGUCUGCUUAACACAUGCAAGUCGAACGGAACUCUUCGGAGUUCAGUGGCGGACGGGUGAGUAACGCGUGAGAAUCUGCCAAAAGGACUGGGAUAACAGAAGGAAACUUCUGCUAAUACCGGAUGUGCCGCAAACGUGAAAGGAGAAAUCCGCCUUUUGAAGAGCUCGCGUCUGAUUAGCUAGUUGGUGAGGUAAAAGCUCACCAAGGCGACGAUCAGUAGCUGGUCUGAGAGGAUGACCAGCCACACUGGGACUGAGACACGGCCCAGACUCCUACGGGAGGCAGCAGUGGGGAAUUUUCGCAAUGGGCGAAAGCCUGACGGAGCAAGACCGCGUGGGGGAGGAAGGCUCUUGGUUGUAAACCCCUUUUCUCAGGGAAGAAGAUCUGACGGUACCUGAGGAAUCCGCCUCGGACCUAACUCCGUGCCAGCAGCCGCGGUAAUACGGAGGAGGCAAGCGUUAUUCCGGAAUUAUUGGGCGUAAAGCGUCCGCAGGUGGCUCGUCAAGUCUGCGGUCAAAAACCGAGGCUUAACUUCGGCAAGGCGUGGAAACUGAAGAGCUAGAGAGCCGUAGGGGUAGAGGGAAUUCCCGGUGUAGCGGUGAAAUGCGUAGAGAUCGGGGAAGAACAUCGGUGGCGAAAGCGCUCUACUGGACGGUGUCUGACACUCAGGGACGAAAGCUAGGGGAGCGAAUGGGAUUAGAUACCCCAGUAGUCCUAGCUGUAAGCGAUGGAUACUAGAUGUUGUCCGUAUCGACCCGGACAGUGUCGUAGCUAACGCGUUAAGUAUCCCGCCUGGGGAGUACGCACGCAAGUGUGAAACUCAAGGAAUUGACGGGGGCCCGCACAAGCGGUGGAGUAUGUGGUUUAAUUCGAUGCAGCGCGAAGAACCUUACCAGGGCUUGACAUGUCGCGAAUCUUCUGGAAACGGGAGAGGUGCCUUCGGGAGCGCGAACACAGGUGGUGCAUGGCUGUCGUCAGCUCGUGUUCGGUGAGAUGUUGGGUUAAGUCCCGCAACGAGCGCAACCCUCGUUCUUAGUUGCCAGCCUUAAGUGGGGCACUCUAGGGAGACCUGCCGGUGACAACCGGAGGAAGGUGGGGAUGACGUCAAGUCAGCAUGCCCCUUACGUCCUGGGCUACACACGUACUACAAUGCGACGGACAAGGGCAGCAAGCGCGCGAGUGCAAGCCUAAUCCCAUAAACCGGUGCCUCAGUUCAGAUCCGCAGGCUGCAACUCGCCUGCGUGAAGGCGGAAUCGCUAGUAAUCGCCGGUCAGCAUACGGCGGUGAAUCCGUUCCCGGGCCUUGUACACACCGCCCGUCACACCAUGGGAGCUGGUUUGGGCCCGAAGUCGUUACCGCCUAACCCCGCAAGGGAGGGGACGCCGAAGGCCGGGCUAGUGACUGGGGGU
rnacentral:rRNA from 1 species